rnacentral:rRNA from 1 species
UACGAAGGGGGCUAGCGUUGCUCGGAAUACUGGGCGUAAGCGUGCGCAGGCGGUGAUGUAAGACAGUUGUGAAAUCCCCGGGCUCAACCUGGGAACUGCAUCUGUGACUGCAUCGCUGGAGUGCGGCAGAGGGGGAUGGAAUUCCGCGUGUAGCAGUGAAAUGCGUAGAUAUGCGGAGGAACACCGAUGGCGAAGGCAAUCCCCUGGGCCUGCACUGACGCUCAUGCACGAAAGCGUGGGAGCAACAG